UCCGGUUGAUGCUGCCAGAGGUUACUGCUAUCGAGAUUCGACUAAGCCAUGCUAGUUGAAUGUUCUUCCGAACAUGGCGGACUGCUCAGUAACACGUGGACAACCGACCCUUGGGUCCGGCAUAAUCCUGGGAAACUGGGAAUAAUUCCAGAUAGGUCACCCAUGCUGGAAUGCGCGGAGGCCGAAACCUCCGGCGCCCGAAGAUGGGUCUGCGGCAUAUCACGUUGUAUUGGGUGUAACAUACCUACUAUCCUACCACGGGUACGGGUUGUGAGAGCAAGAACACGGAGAUGGAUUCUGACACACGAAUCCCGGCCCUACCGGGUGCAUCACGCGCGAAAACUUUACAAUGCGGGAAACCGUGAUAAGGGGAUCUCGAGUGCCGUCAUAUAAUGUUGGCUGUCCAGAUGCCUAAAAAGCAUUGUUACCAAGGGCCGGGUGAGAACGGUGCCAGCCGCCGCGGUAACACCGGCGGCCCGAGUGGUAACCGCUAUUAUUGAGUCUAAAGGGUCUGUAUGAGGUCAGGUGAGUCCCUUGGGAAAUCUGGCAGCUCAACUGUCAUGCUGCUGCGGGAUACUGUUUGGCUUGAGACCGGGAGAGGUGAGACGUACCUUGGGGGUAGGGGUGAAAUCUGGUGAUCCUCGAGGGACCACAAGUGGGCAACGUGUCUGACCACAACGGAUCCUACUGUACGGCACGAACUACACGAGUACCAACCGGAGUACAUGCCCCGAUAUUCCUACCCUUACCCUAUGAUCGCUACGUGUGAGACACCUUCCCCACUGGAGUGCUGUCGAAGAUCACCCGAGAUCCCCGCUACCUGCAAAGUAUCGCCACAUGUCCCAGACUUAAGGCAAUUGGUAGUCGAUCACUACACGACGUGGGACCUGCCGUAUAUUUCGAUGCACUUACGUAGAUCGGCUCGGGAGCUACAGACCUAUUAAUAUCGGGCUCAAAUCUUACCGCAGUGUUUCAGAGGUGGUGGUGACCGGUCUUGCCUGGUCUUGCUAACCAUCUUUAGCUC
rnacentral:rRNA from 1 species